GACGAACGCUGGCGGCGCGCUUAACACAUGCAAGUCGAACGGAGCGGAGAUAAGCUUGCUGUUCUUAGCUUAGUGGCGCACGGGUGAGUAACGCGUGUGUAAUCUGCCCUGGAGUGGGGGACAAUAGUUGGAAACGACUGCUAAUACCGCAUAAGCCCACGAUCCGGCAUCGGGUUGAGGGAAAAGGAUUUAUUCGCUUUAGGAUGGACUCGCGUCCAAUUAGCUAGUUGGUGAUGUAACGGCACAGCAUGGCGACGUAUGGUAGCCGGACUGAGAGGUUGCCCGGCCACGUCUGGGAUACGACCCGGCCCCGAAUCCUACGGAAGGGAGCAGAGGAGGAUAUUGCACGAUGAGGGAAAAUCUAAUGCCGCGACGCCGCGUAGAGGAGGAAGGUUUUCGGAUUGUACACUCGUGUGGUUCGGAGCGAUAAUGACGGUACCUAAUAAAAAAGCACCGGCUAACUACGUG
rnacentral:rRNA from 1 species